AAUGGGUCAGCGACUUAUAUUCUGUAGCAAGGUUAACCGAAUAGGGGAGCCGAAGGGAAACCGAGUCUUAACUGGGCGUUAAGUUGCAGGGUAUAGACCCGAAACCCGGUGAUCUAGCCAUGGGCAGGUUGAAGGUUGGGUAACACUAACUGGAGGACCGAACCGACUAAUGUUGAAAAAUUAGCGGAUGACUUGUGGCUGGGGGUGAAAGGCCAAUCAAACCGGGAGAUAGCUGGUUCUCCCCGAAAGCUAUUUAGGUAGCGCCUCGUGAAUUCAUCUCCGGGGGUAGAGCACUGUUUCGGCAAGGGGGUCAUCCCGACUUACCAACCCGAUGCAAACUGCGAAUACCGGAGAAUGUUAUCACGGGAGACACACGGCGGGUGCUAACGUCCGUCGUGAAGAGGGAAACAACCCAGACCGCCAGCUAAGGUCCCAAAGUCAUGGUUAAGUGGGAAACGAUGUGGGAAGGCCCAGACAGCCAGGAUGUUGGCUUAGAAGCAGCCAUCAUUUAAAGAAAGCGUAAUAGCUCACUGGUCGAGUCGGCCUGCGCGGAAGAUGUAACGGGGCUAAACCAUGCACCGAAGCUGCGGCAGCGACACUAUGUGUUGUUGGGUAGGGGAGCGUUCUGUAAGCCUGUGAAGGUGUACUGUGAGGUAUGCUGGAGGUAUCAGAAGUGCGAAUGCUGACAUAAGUAACGAUAAAGCGGGUGAAAAGCCCGCUCGCCGGAAGACCAAGGGUUCCUGUCCAACGUUAAUCGGGGCAGGGUGAGUCGACCCCUAAGGCGAGGCCGAAAGGCGUAGUCGAUGGGAAACAGGUUAAUAUUCCUGUACUUGGUGUUACUGCGAAGGGGGGACGGAGAAGGCUAUGUUGGCCGGGCGACGGUUGUCCCGGUUUAAGCGUGUAGGCUGGUUUUCCAGGCAAAUCCGGAAAAUCAAGGCUGAGGCGUGAUGACGAGGCACUACGGUGCUGAAGCAACAAAUGCCCUGCUUCCAGGAAAAGCCUCUAAGCAUCAGGUAACAUCAAAUCGUACCCCAAACCGACACAGGUGGUCAGGUAGAGAAUACCAAGGCGCUUGAGAGAACUCGGGUGAAGGAACUAGGCAAAAUGGUGCCGUAACUUCGGGAGAAGGCACGCUGAUAUGUAGGUGAAGUCCCUCGCGGAUGGAGCUGAAAUCAGUCGA
rnacentral:rRNA from 1 species